CAGCUACCAAAAUGGGCCGCUUAAAAGGGAGCAACACAGUGGACAGAAAAGGGAAAUGGACAGCAGCCUGAGUUAAUUCCAUGAAACAGAGGGCUCACUGUUUGGCUAUAUGAUUUACGAGGAGUCCAUGUACUCUACAUGGGGAAUACGUGUGAUUUGGCAGCUAUGCAACCCUGUAUUCCAAAGCAUUUUGCAGAGUUAAAUAUAACAAGAUUAAACAAUAAAUAAGGGCCAAGGGAAGAGGAGAAAUACACAAGAAACAUGUUUUUUUCAGGUAAGAAUUGAAAAAAUGAAGCUGGUCAAUAAGGUAGACUUAUAAAGUUGAUUAAAUGAAAACAACAGAUUUUUAUGAACAAUCUGCAGAAAAGUCCUGAGUGAAAUUGUGUAGAAACUUUCUAAGUGAAUACAGUUAUAAGAUGAAAUAGGAAAGGCUAAACAAUACAACAUCACUUGUUCAUUCACUAUCAUUUCAGUGCAGCUUUUACUACAUUGUGCAAGUUUGCUGUAUCUUCAACAAACAUUGGUAUGGCUAAACAUCUAAUCAAACUGCAUAAUUUGCAGAUUUUUCUUUAACACACACGUGCAUACACACACUCCUGUUCUACUUCACUAAGAAAGCUUUUUGACUUUUUAUAGAGGUCACUGAAGAAACCGUAUAAGGGGUUCCUUGUUUAAUAACUGGUAACAUCACUAACACUUUCCAUUAACAUAUUUGAAAUAUUUGUAUAGAGCUUCAUUUAAAUCAAUGGGGCUAUUUGUGGAGUAUGGUAAUAUUUAACCUGAAAAUGGACGGCUCAGUCUGGCCCGUAGUAUUCUUCGGGGGGGCUGGGGGAGAGCCAUUUUUAUGUCAGACCAAUACAGAAUCAGCCAGGCAAUGAGCUCCAUGCAUGACCAAAUCUUAUUUUAUAAUGAUCUUAAUAUCAAAUUAUAGUGGUCCUUGGAAGGUCACACAGCCCAUGCAGCUGAUUCUAUUUCGCACACACAAGAAGCAUAUAUUUCUUCUAACGGAUACUGCUAUCGUUCAGCCAUUCCGCUUAAUUUUCCAGCUCACAACAGGAGGAAGAUCCAACCAUGAACGUCAAGGUGUGGGACUGACUAAUUACAAGGGCCAUAUUUUCAGAAGUAAUUAGUCAUCCAAAUAUGUAACUAAGCACCUCCCCGGAUUUUCAAAAGAGCCUAAGCAGGUUCAUUGAUUUCCAUGGCAAUUAGAUGCUGAACCAACUUAAGUGCUUUUGAAAAUCCAAGUAGGCACCUAAAUCCCUUUGGCAAUCUGGCCCCAACCCAUCAGGGAAAGUUAAUUUAUUUUGAGUAAUGUACUUUUAACCUGCAGAGUUAUUAAUAUUCAGAGAAGUUUUGUAUGUGUAUGAGGCCUGGUCUACACUACUGAGUUAGGUCGAAGGAAGCUGCCUUAAGUUGACCUGUUAAUGUUUGUGUCUAUACUACCGGGGUCCUUUACACCCACCUAAGUCGCCUCUAAUGUCACCUUCUGUAAUCCACCUCUGCGAGAGGCGCAGCCCUUAAUUCGAUUUCAUGAGUUGACUGCGAGAUAGUGCAGACGCAGUGUUGUAUAAUUUGACUUAACUGGCCUCCAGGUGGUGUCCCACAAUGCUCAUCUGUGACCACUCUGGAAAUUAUUUUCAACUCUGCUGCCCUGCAGCUAAGUACACAUGAAACAGACCCUCCCCUGCUAACGCCCCGGGAAUUUUUGAUUUCCCAUUUCCUGUUUGAUCAGCAUUGGGAAUGUGCCAGCUUGAGCACAGCUGAACAUGGAGACUACACACCCCAAAUGUGCGUCAGCCUGGUCUGCACAGGAGGUGGUGGAUCUCAUCAUUGUGUGGGGAGAAGAGUCUGUGCAGGCAGAGCUCUGAUUCAGCAGAAAAAAUGCUGACAUCUGUGCAAAGAUUGCUCAUGGAAUGGGGGAGAAGGGCUUCACAAGGAACACACAGCGGUGCCAUGUGAAAAUAAAAGAACUUCACCAAGUGUACCAGAAGGCAAGGGAGGCAAACAGUGAUUCUCGUGUUGAACCCCACACAUGCUGGUUCUACAACAAGCUGCAUGUGAUUCUUGGGGUGACCCUACCAGUACCCCCACAAACAUGGACACCUCACAGGUGUGUGAGUCUAGGGACAACAGGGAGGAUGAUAUGGUGGAUGAGGAGUAGGAGAAUGGGAGACAGGGGAGCAGUGGAUCCAUUCUCCCCAAGAGCCAGGAAAUAUUUUAACCCUGGAGCCCUGUGGGUCGCAGGACAUCACAGUGGCUAACUGUGAUGCUGGGGAAGGCACCUCUGGUGAGUAUACAGUUACAAUCAGAGUCCAGUUAAACUUUAGCAGGCACACAUAUGCAGUGGUAUUCCAUGCUUUCUGUGAAGAAAAAGUGAGGCACUGUGGCUCUCUGCUUACAAGAGGCCACUCCAGCGAUGCAGAGGGUGCCCCCUGGAAAAGACUGUUUAUGUGGACUGGGAUAGCCCCGGGACUUCUUCAUGGAUAUCUCUAGGAAACUUUCAUGGAGGUACUCUGCAGUCCUUUGCAGAAGGUUUCUGGGCAGACUUUCGCUGAUUAGAAGAAGAAGAAAGAGAACGCAGGAGGACAUGUUCACUGAGAUAAUGAACGCCUCUGGGACAGCUGAGACAGAGCUGAGAGCAUGGAGGAUUUCACUGCCUGAGAAGUUAAACAUAGAUAUGGAGAGCAGACAAGCUUCCCAUGAGUGUGCAGCACAGGAUAGAUGCUUUGGAUUAUGCGGGACCAAUCAGACAUGUUGAGGCAUCUGGUUGAACUGCAGGAACAGAAGCAAGAGGGUAGAGUCCCUUUGCAGACCCUUAUAGACAGCCAGCCAGCAUCGCCUGGCACAGAAUCACCCUCCCCAAAGCGUUCCAUAAGGUGUGGGAGAAAAGUCCAUUAUCCCUUUCACUUAACUCAGGGGGAGGGUAUAAAGUACAGAAGGCACCCAUUCACAGACCUUUGAUGGUCUAGAAUGCAGUGCAAUGUUACAUAGCUGAAAAUGUUUCUCCCGUUCCAACUUUACAAUGCCUUUUCCCCAAGGCUACCUUUUCUUUCUGUUCUUCCUCUUUACUUAUGUUUGUUAAAUAAAGUAAAUGGAUUUGA